GAUGAACGCUGACAGAAUGCUUAACACAUGCAAGUCUUUGGCGAAGCUGUGCUUGCACAGCCUAGCCAAGGCGGACGGGUGAGUAACGCGUAAGGAACUUGCCCUGCAGUCAGGGAUAACAGACGGAAACGACUGAUAAGACCUGGUAAAGUCAGGCGGACUCAUGUCCAGCCUGAUGAAAAGAGAUGCUGCAGGAGAGCCUUGCGUCCUAUUAGCUUGUUGGUGGGGUAACGGCCCACCAAGGCGAUGAUAGGUAGCCGGCCUGAGAGGGUGGACGGCCACAGGGGGACUGAGAUACGGCCCUUACUCCUACGGGAGGCAGCAGUGGGGAAUAUUGGACAAUGGGGGCAACCCUGAUCCAGCAAUUCUGUGUGAACGAUGAAGGUUUUCGGAUUGUAAAGUGCUUUCAGCAGGGAAGAAAAAAUGACGGUACCUGCAGAAGAAGCGACGGCUAAAUACGUG
rnacentral:rRNA from 1 species